rnacentral:rRNA from 1 species
CCCUUAGAUAUUCUGGGCUGCACGCGCGCUACACUGACACUAUCAACGAGUGCUCCUGGUUUGAAAGGAUCGGGUAAUCUUUUGAAAUGGUGUCGUGAUGGGGAUAGAUCAUUGCAAUUAUUGAUCUUGAACGAGGAAUUCCUAGUAAAUGUGAGUCAUCAGCUCACGUUGAUUACGUCCCUGCCCUUUGUACACACCGCCCGUCGCUCCUACCGAUUGAGUGAACCGAUGAGUAGUCCGGAUUGCGAUCGACCUCGGUUAAUCGCGAGAAGUUCCGCAAAUCACUUCACUUAGAGGAAGGAGAAGUCGUAACA